CUCCGCAGCCGCGGACCCGAGGCGCUGCCGGCCGCGAUUUACCUGCGAGGGAGCCGGGUCUCUGCAGGGUGGCGGUGGCGUACAGCUCCUGGGAGUGCUUGCUGUACUGAUCGGCAGCGUGAACCAGCCGCUUGCCUCCUUUAAGAAUGCAUCACACCCUUUCACGCUAACCCCCAGGGUACGAUGCUUUGCACAAAGCACAACUCCUGAUGACAUCUGCCCAGGCUACAACUGGAUAUUAUAGCCUCCUUUUUCUUUCCACCUGGAAUCCUGCUCUCCUGCUGGCUCCAAUCCCAAAGAACAUCAGGGAGGUCCUCUUUGUAAACUAGCUUACUCUUCCAUGGUGUCCGGGCCCAGCAAGUGAAAUACAACAGGAGAGAAAAGAAGAGGGUUAUGCCUUGGUCACUGCAUGAGUUACAAAGAAGUCUACCUUCAACCCAACAGCUAUCGUCUAUAGUAUAUUCAGCGGCUCCACGGGGAUGAUAGGUUCAUCUUCUGGUCAGCACUAACAAGCUCAUGAGAGCAUAGCAGGUGACACAAACCUUAAGGGAUGUAAAAUGAUUAAGUUGAUUUUGCUCCUACAGAACAUGUGAAAAGUUCAGUUUUAAAAAGACUCAUAAUGGCAAAAUUCCAAUGAAUUUUACCAGAAAUAACUCCCAGUACAUUCCUGAUACAAAGGCCAAAUUUUAUGACCUUUAAGUCUUUGCUACGAGAAUGUACAGCUGCUCCAAAAAGAUAUCCACUUAGAAAACGUGCAAAAACCCCACCCCCAAAUUAACACAGAGUAUUUUUUCCCCUAGUCUGUUUCUCAGAAAUGGCAGAACCAUUAUAACUGAUAUUUUCCAAAAUCCAACCUGAACCACUCAUAUUAUAAACAAAUCGUAGUAGGCUACGUAAAGUGGAAGUGUUUGCAUCUAAGUGUAGACUGGGAUUAUGACGCUAUUUUACAUAUCAACGCAAUUUAUACUGUAAAGUCAAUUGCAUUCAUCAGUAUAUUCCAGAUAUAGGACAAAUUUAGAAAGUGAGUUCUGGUCCUUGUAUUUUCCUUACAUGUACAGAAGGGGCAGGGCUCCACGUGUGCUGUGAGGUUAUUAAAAAUGUAUCACAUGCAUAGGAGAGCUGAAUUUAAUUCUGCAUGGGUGCUUAUAAAUCCAACAUUUCAUAGCUUUCCGUUCCCUGACUCUGCAAAUAGGGUUUACUAACCAUUUUCCAUUUAACUGGUUUUGUUGCAAAUUUUGUUCCUGAAUGAAAGAAAUAUUUUCACAGAUUUUUUUAAAGAACAUAAAAAAAAUACAGGCUUAAUUUAAAAAUAUAU